rnacentral:rRNA from 1 species
CAGUCGCCGCGGUAAUACGAAGGGUGCAAGCGUUACUCGGAAUUACUGGGCGUAAAGCGUGCGUAGGUGGUGGUUUAAGUCCGUUGUGAAAGCCCUGGGCUCAACCUGGGAAUUGCAGUGGAUACUGGGUCACUAGAGUGUGGUAGAGGAUAGUGGAAUUUCCGGUGUAGCAGUGAAAUGCGUAGAGAUCGGAAGGAACAUCUGUGGCGAAGGCGACCAUCUGGGCCAACACUGACACUGAGGCACGAAAGCGUGGGGAGCAAACAGGAUUAGAUACCCCCGUAGUCCCUGUCUCUUAUAC